rnacentral:lncRNA from 1 species
CACUCCACAGGUCUGAUGUAGGCGAUGCUGGCCCAGGAAGUUCUGUGCAUGGUGGCACCCCUGUGACACCCAUGGAAGGCCAUGUCUGAUCUCCAGUUCCACAGAGAUCCUGAAGAGACAGAAAGGGAAGAGCAGCUGCUGCGGAAAAGGUUGUGGCCAGGGAGGAAUUUCAGGGAGAAUGGACUGCUCCAGUUCCUGAGUUGACUGCUCUCCAAGCUGAGGCUGCAGACUGGGCUAUAGGUGUAGGUGGCCUCUGGGCCCAUUCAGCUGAUCCCUACUGAAGUCUAAGGGGCUCAGUCUCCCACUGAAGGCUGAUCUGCAGCUCCCACUGCCCAG